UCCAUUCUAUCCCCUCACAUUCCCACAUACACAACCCACACUGCCUCCCAUAAUCCCUAGAAAACGUUUCCAUUCCACCGCCUUCCCCACUUUAUUUCUCUGUCUCUCUCUUCUCAAGCUCCACCACCAUUACCAGUUUACCACCACCCACAAAAAUCUCCAAAACCCCGAAUCCCACAAAAGUUUUACAGAUUCAUCUUUCCACCACCUCCCCCCCUUUAUUUCUCUCUGUCUCUCUCUUCUGAAGCUCCACCACCGUUACCAGUUUACCACCACCUACAAAAAUUUCCAAAACCCCGAAUCACACAAAAUUUUUACAGAUUCAUCUUACUUCCAAAUUUGCUCCAAUUCUUCUUGUUGUACUCCCAAUCUGAAGAUUAUGAUCAAUCCCAACGAAAUUACGAGUCUUACAAUAACAACCCUCAAGAAACCUCAACUAAUUAUGAUGGGUUGCACUAGCAGAAGUGAUGGAAUGAGGAUGGCAACCGGUGGGAGAAAGAAGAAAUCAUGUGGGUGAUUUUGUUGUCUGACUCGCGAGUUGACUCGGCCAAACUCGGUAAGUUUUACUGAUUUCUUAUUGAUUUGAGUUGACUCGGUAAAUAUCGACCGAGUCAAUCCGAGUCAACUCGGAUUCCGGUGAAACGGCGAUGCGGGUGUCGGUAUCGUACCGGUGAGCCCCGUUCCCGUUAUGACUCGGCCGAGUCAACUCGGACUCGGCCGAUUUGGCGAACCAUACUGCAUGGUAUUUGAGAAGCCAUCCUGAUUGUAGCCUAAACUAGUGGUUGAGGAUGUUGAGAAGGGAAACUCUGGUUUUCAGCAAAAGCCUAAACACAAUUGCAAGUGCCUCCGCCAAUUCCUCAAUGCUUGAAUCUACUGCCUCAAGUUUUUUGAGUACAUCUUUGUUUGACUGCUUGUUGUUCAACAAAUCCAACUUGAUUUCUAUUUGUCAAUUGCUCCAAUAUCAGAGUAUCCCCUGACUGAUGCUCUUUUCUGCUGCAAUAACUUUGAGACCAAGGACCAACCUCUUGGUUGUGAUCCUGCCUUAGAUCCAGAAAGGAAAGAUAGAACAGACUCCAACACCAGAACACCAACAACUUGAACAUCUUUGAUCAAGUUAACCAUAUCAUAUAUGAGUUGACUUCACUGUCCACACUUCCAGUUGUUUUUCUCGGUAAAGAUGAUUCAAGUACCUGCACACUUCCUUUGUCUCUAAAUAGAUGUCUCUUACUGCACCACAAAUGUCCAACAGCCUGACACAUCCAUCCAAGACCUGUUCUUCCCAUUUUGCCAGUCUUUCAUCAGAGAGAGCUUGUUAACUGAAAGGAAGCUGAACCACAUCAUCCAGACACUAAGACAAGUUGAGGCCAUCCAAUAUUUGGCCUGCCAAUGAAUGUGAAGUUGAGGAUGGCAUCUCUGAUGACUUCAAUCUUUACAGGUGUUUCUCAGCAGUCACGAUAAGAGGGUGAGAUGAAGGAGGCAAACUAACCAAACGAGAAUGGCUAGAGAAUUUUGGAUUUGGAGAAUUUUGGAUUUUGGAUUUAGAGAAUGGCUAAACUGAACUGCCGUCGGUCAAGAUUCCUUUUGCUUUCCAGAUCGUGCAGGAGUUAGCCUAUUGUGGCAUUCGUGUUCAUCAACUUCAAGAACUAUGAUAAAGAGAUGGACCAAUUGUUGUCUCAACUUUGGGAGCUAGAGUUGAUGCGAAAGAGAUGAGUCGAUUCAUUCUUCAGACUUCCUUCUGCAGCAAAUAUUGCGUAUUCUCUAGCAACUAUUAAAGCAACUUGGCAUAUGCAAUCAAAUGCUUCACCAUCUAAAGUUCUCAUCCAAUGACUGCAAGCAGUGAGCAUCAUCCCUCUAAGAGACGCAGGAUGUAUUGUGUUCGUCCAAGUAUGUAUUGCGUUCUGUAACCAACAUAAUUUGAUUAUGACAAGGAGGCGAGGUUGAAGUUGAACUUGUGCUCUAGCAGCAGUAUAUGCAGCAGCAUUUACAUUUGAUGGUGCCAGUAAAGAAGCAAAACAGAAGGAACAAUCUUCGCGAAAGGAACAAGAAUCAAUAGGACUAGGAUGCAAACAAACCAAGCAAUGCAUAAGGUGUCUGGUCCCCAGCUUGACCUGAGUUCAGGAUUGUCUGUGAGCUCAAUCUGGUUAAACAGCUAAACGACUCCAGCUUGAGUCUUUUUGUUUUUUCUCAAGAAGCUGUUGAGUUUAAUGAGUACGUAAUUCUCUAAUUUGUUUUGGAAAACACAAAUAUGUGUCAAGCAACUAGAGCUCAUUAUUUUGUUGAGCUUAUUCCAGUCAAA